GGGUGACUAGCUCAAUGGUAGAGCAUCGGACUCUUAAUCCGCUGGUUCAGGGUUCGAGCCCCUGGUCACCCA
rnacentral:tRNA from 4 species